rnacentral:rRNA from 1 species
CACAAGCGGUGGAGCAUGUGGUUUAAUUCGAUGCAACGCGAAGAACCUUACCUGGGCUUGACAUCCCGGGAAUCCCUUGGAAACAAGGGAGUGCCCUUCGGGGAACCUGGAGACAGGUGCUGCAUGGCUGUCGUCAGCUCGUGUCGUGAGAUGUUCGGUUAAGUCCGCUAACGAGCGCAACCCUCGCUGUGUGUUACAAGUGUCACACGGUACUGCCGGUCUUAAGCCGGAGGAAGGUGGGGAUGACGUCAAGUCAGCAUGGCCUUUAUGUCCUGGGCUACACACACGCUACAAUGGCCAACACAAUAGGUUGCUAAGCCGCGAGGUGGAGCCAAUCCUCAAAGUUGGUCUCAGUUCAGAUUGCAGGCUGCAACCCGCCUGCAUGAAGAUGGAGUUGCUAGUAACCGCAGGUCAGCUAUACUGCGGUGAAUACGUUCCCGGGGCUU